rnacentral:rRNA from 1 species
CGGACGGGUGAGUAAUGUCUGGGAAACUGCCUGAUGGCGGGGGAUAACUACUGGAAACGGUAGCUAAUACCGCAUAAUGUCUACGGACCAAAGCGGGGGACCUCCGGGCCUCGCGCCAUCAGAUGAACCCAUAUGGGAUUAGCUAGUAGGUAAGGUAACGGCUUACCUAGGCGACGAUCCCUAGCUGGUCUGAGAGGAUGACCAGCCACACUGGAACUGAGACACGGUCCAG